CAGUAUCACAGCUCUUUUAGAAUUUGUCUAGCAGGUUUUCCAGUAGCCACCGAAAGACCUAA
ensembl:snRNA U7 U7 small nuclear RNA